GAUGAAGAACGUAGCGAAAUGCGAUAAGUAAUGUGAAUUGCAGAAUUCAGUGAAUCAUCGAAUCUUUGAACGCACCUUGCGCUCCUUGGUAUUCCGAGGAGCAUGCCUGUUUGAGUGUCAUUAAUAUAUCAACCUCUUCAGCUCAUGCUUGUUGAGUGUUGGAUGGUGGGGGUUUGCUGGUGUCUUAUGAAGUCAGCUCCUCUGAAAUGCAUUAGCGGAACAAUUUGUUGACCGUUCAUUGGUGUGAUAAAAAUAUCUACGCUAUUGACGUCAGUCAGUUCAGCUUCUAACAGUCCAUUGACUUGGACAAAUUUUUCAUUAAUGUGACCUCAAAUCAGGUAGGACUACCCGCUGAACUUAAGCAUAUCAAUAAGCGGAGGA
rnacentral:misc_RNA from 1 species